UUUACUGAGCUGAUGUCAGAUCAGAUUCAGUUACAAUAAUAUAUUUUAUUAUUAAUUACAGGUCUCACAUUCAUUCAUAGAGUUGUGAUCUGUUGUGUUGCUGUUGGAUGUCUGAUUAUUGUAGCAUCAGUUCUGAUCUUUUGGAUCGACAGGAAACACACAAACACACAGCAACAGGUUCAGACCAGUGAACAGGAAAUCACGUACGCAGAAACAACUUUCCAUCAGAAUCAAAGAUGUAAACCGAGAGCUCCAGUGGAGACCAAUGUGGUGUAUGCCGGAGUCAUGAGACGAUGAUCAUACUUCAAACAAAUACUGUAAAAUAUGAUCAAAAACACAAUGAUUAAAAUAAUAAAGAAUCAAAGUGGUUUUAAAA